AUAAAGUUUUGUUAACUAAAUAAAGGAAUGCCGUCUAGAUCAAGAAAAGGAUCUUUAUUAUGACUUCGCUAUAUGCAUGUAAACCCUUUAUUUUUCACUUAAUUGUGUUUAAGGAUGUUAUGCAGGAAACCAAAGUAGUUUAUAUAGUAAAAAUUACGAUAAGGAUCCUCAGAGACUACACGCGAAGCCCCUUUAUAUAAGGGUGAAGACAUAGUCCGUUGUGGCAGGAAACUGCUUU
rnacentral:ncRNA from 1 species